rnacentral:rRNA from 1 species
GGACUACCGGGGUAUCUAAUCCUGUUUGAUCCCCACGCUUUCGUGCCUCAGUGUCAAUCGAUCCGUAGUGAGCUGCCUUCGCAAUGGGUGUUCUAUGUCAUCUCUAAGCAUUUCACCGCUACAUGACAUAUUCCGCUCACCUCCAGAUAAUUCAAGACCUAUAGUAUCAAUGGCAGUUUCCGAGUUAAGCCCGGAGAUUUCACCACUGACUUACAGGCCCACCUACGCACCCUUUAAACCCAGUAAAUCCGGAUAACGCUUGCACCCUCCGUAUUACCGCGGCUGCUGGCAC